GCAUUCUUAGCUCAGUAGGAUAAGAGCUGCAAUCUUCUAAGUUGUCGGUCGUAGGUUCGAGUCCUACAGAAUGCA
rnacentral:tRNA from 1 species